AGAGCAGGGAAUCAACAACUGUAGGCCAAGCUAUAAUGUGAAAUUGCAAAAGGAAAGAGAAAAACAGUAUAUAAAACUUAACUUAAAUCUUGGUGAUUACGUUUACAGGGCAGCUGGCAGCUCAACUGAAAUGGAGACAAAUUUUAGGAAAAAUCUCCUUUACAGUGGAGGACUGCUACUGAUUUCACAGAGGGCAGAAAGUAGGCAUGCAGUAUAUUCCCAAAAGAGAAAGUUUAAAAUUCAUAUAUGGAAACUCCAGUAUCAACGUGCUAAGUACAUGAGCUCAGGCAGGAAAUGUCUGAAAACAGGUACAGGUUAAGCACUAUGAACAGAUGAUGACAAUAAAAAUAAAGGCAAGAGGAGUACACAGAUUUUUUCGUAGUUAUUUGACUGUGGUCAGAGGACAUUAGCCUGAUCCAAGGAUCUGGAUUUCCCUCACGCUGGAAUCAUGAUGUAUGUUGUCUUAGCUGAAAAAAACUUACAUAAGAUCAGAAGAACAGACAGAUGAAAAUGUUCAGAGCAAAAAUAAUGGGAGAGAAUUCAGCGUCAGUGACACAACAACAUGUUCUGUGUUGUGGCACAGAGCAGACAGUAGAAUCUCCUUUCUCAGUGUGAUUUUGCAUUUAAGCAGCUUUUAAAAGAAUGACCGACAGUAACUCCCAGACCCAAAGAACACACUUGUUAGAAGGAAGAUGAAGUCUAUAGUUUCUGCAAAAUUCUCAGGAACCUUCUUGUAAACAACAGCCCUAAGAACAGUGUAACAGACAUUAUAACCUGUAUUAAACCCGCCAACUGCUUCUUUACAGCUCAGCAAUGCUGCCUGUAGUGUCUGUAAUCCAGGAGAGAGAAGGCAUUGGUGAUAGAAGCGAAGUAACAAGAAAGCAGCAGCCUAUAGCUGGACAUCAAACCACUGCUAUAAAGGCACAGAACUGUUUCUAUUUCAAAUAAAAAAAGCCACUUAACUAAGAGAAAAAACAGAUCAGAACACAACAAAGAACAAG